CACACAUACAGUGUGUGAGUCUCGACGAUCGAACAAGGGAGCAGGGCAAGGUAAAACCCUAGUUUCACCAAAUCCAUCAAAUUCAGUAGGGAUUUCAAGGAAAAUCGAACGCAUGAACCUCUAAUCUUGAACAUCUAACCUUGUUCAUUGAUGUGGAUCGUGUCAAUAUGGGGGAAAGCACGGAAGGUUAACGGAACGAGUAAGAGGAAACAUGUACGAAACGGACACUCGAGGCUAUGCAAAUCGCGGGCUAUUAUCAUGAGGAAUAGAGAUCGAAGACCGAGUCACGAGAGAGAUUGUAUGGAAUUAAUUGAGUUUGUACAUUAGCAAACAAAUGUUAUGCUUUUGUUUUGUAAAACAGAUAUUUUUAAAAUGAAUUUUCAAGUAA